GUAGGUGGCAAGCGUUGUCCGGAAUAUUGGGCGUAAAGCGCGCGCAGGGCGGUUCUUUAAGUCUGAUGUGAAAGCCCACGGCUCAACCGUGGGGGCAUUGGAAACUGAGAACUUGAGUACAGAAGAGGAAAGCGGAAUUCCACGUGUAGCGGUGAAAUGCGUAGAGAUGUGGAGGAACACCAGUGGCGAAGGCGGCUUUCUGGUCCGUAACUGACGCUGAGGCGCGAAAGCGUGGGGAGCAAACAGGAUUAGAUACCCUGGUAGUCCACGCCGUAAACGAUGAGUGCUAAGUGUUAGGGGGUUUCCGCCCCCUUAGUGCUGCAGCUAACGCAUUAAGCACUCCGCCUGGGGAGUACGGCCGCAAGGCUG
rnacentral:rRNA from 1 species